GGAUGUGAGGGCGAUCUGGCUGUGACAUCUGUCACCCCGUUGAUCGCCAGGGUUGAUUCUGCUGAUCUGACUGGCUAGGCGGGUGUCCCCUUCCUCCCUCACCGCUCCAUGUGCGUCCCUCCUGAAGCUGAGCCUUCCCCAAAUAGAGACAGACUGGUUUUAGUUCAAGGGUAUAGGAGUAGCUGCGCUCCCCUGCUAGAAGCUCCAAACAAGCUCUCAAGGUCCAUUUGAACGCGGGACCUCAUGCUUGAGAGUCCAGCAUCCUACCCACU
ensembl:misc_RNA 7SK 7SK RNA